rnacentral:tRNA from 1 species
GAUAAAGAAAGGAAUUAAACCAAUGUAAACAGGACUACAGCCUGCCGCCUAACACUCGGCCACCUUACC